AUGAAAAAAAUGAGUGCACUUUAUUGUGGCUCAACCCAAUUUUUUCAAUACACCCCAAAAUGGCUAUUUGGCAUGCCUUUUUUUAUACACUUGUUUUCUCAAGGAUGUGAAAAAGUAUAGUCAUUUGGCACAAGCAAAUAUUAAUUUAUUUGCAUUACCCCUUAUCAAUUUAUUUAUUUUCCAGUCAAGUAUUUGAGAAUGUAAAAAAAACUUUAAUAAAGUGUAAAAUAUA
rnacentral:misc_RNA from 1 species